UACGUAGGGUGCGAGCGUUUGUCCGGAAUUACUGGGCGUAAAGAGCUCGUAGGCGGUUUGUCGCGUCUGCCGUGAAAGUCCGGGCUCAACUCCGGAUCUGCGGUGGGUACGGGCAGACUAGAGUGAUGUAGGGGAGACUGGAAUUCCUGGUGUAGCGGUGAAAUGCGCAGAUAUCAGGAGGAACACCGAUGGCGAAGGCAGGUCUCUGGGCAUUAACUGACGCUGAGGAGCGAAAGCAUGGGGAGCGAACAGG
rnacentral:rRNA from 1 species